rnacentral:rRNA from 1 species
CCUACGGGAGGCAGCAGUAGGGAAUCUUUCACAAUGGGCGAAAGCCUGAUGGAGCAACGCCGCGUGCAGGAUGAAGGCCUUCGGGUUGUAAACUGCUGUUAUAAGCGAGAAAUAUGAUGGUAACUUAUGAAUAAGGAUCGGCUAACUACGUGCCAGCAGCCGCGGUCAUACGUAGGAUCCGAGCAUUAUCCGGAGUGACUGGGUGUAAAGAGUUGCGUAGGUGGCAUAAUAAGUAGCUAGUGAAAUCUGGUGGCUCAACCAUUCAGACUAUUAGCUAAACUGUUAAGCUCGAGACCGUUAGGGGUAACUGGAAUGUCUAGUGUAGGAGUGAAAUCCGUAGAUAUUAGAAGGAACACCAAUAGCGUAGGCAGGUUGCUGGGACGGUUCUGACACUAAGGCACGAAAGCGUAGGGAGCAAACGGGAUUAGAUACCCUUGUAGUC